rnacentral:rRNA from 1 species
UACGUAGGGUCCGAGCGUUGUCCGGAAUUACUGGGCGUAAAGAGCUUGUAGGUGGUUUGUCGCGUUGUUCGUGAAAACUCACAGCUUAACUGUGGGCGUGCGGGCGAUACGGGCAGACUUGAGUACUGCAGGGGAGACUGGAAUUCCUGGUGUAGCGGUGGAAUGCGCAGAUAUCAGGAGGAACACCGGUGGCGAAGGCGGGUCUCUGGGCAGUAACUGACGCUGAGGAGCGAAAGCGUGGGGAGCGAACAGG